GACGAACGCUGGCGGCGUGCUUAACACAUGCAAGUCGAACGGUGAAGCGCCUUCCUUUUUGGUGGGUGUGGAUGAGUGGCGAACGGGUGAGUAACACGUGAGUAACCUGCCCCCUUCUUCUGGAUAACCGCAUGAAAGUGUGGCUAAUACGGGAUAUUCUGGGUCUGUCGCAUGAUGGGUCUGGGAAAGAUAUUGUUUCGGUGGGGGAUGGGCUCGCGGCCUAUCAGCUUGUUGGUGGGGGGAUGGCCUACCAAGGCGGUGACGGGUAGCCGGCCUGAGAGGGUGGACGGUCACGCUGGGACUGAGACACGGCCCAGACUCCUACGGGAGGCAGCAGUGGGGAAUAUUGCACAAUGGGCGCAAGCCUGAUGCAGCGACGCCGCGUGAGGGAUGGAGGCCUUCGGGUUGUGAACCUCUUUCGCCAGUGAAGCAGGCCUGCCUCGUUUGUGGGUGGGUUGACGGUAGCUGGAUAAGAAGCGCCGGCUAACUACGU
rnacentral:rRNA from 1 species